CGCUAUCACUCCUACGGGAGGCAGCAGUGGGGAAUAUUGCACAAUGGGGGAAACCCUGAUGCAGCCAUGCCGCGUGUGUGAAGAAGGCCUUCGGGUUGUUAAAGCACUUUCAGUAGGGAGGAAGGUAGUGUAGUUAACACCUGCAUUAUUUGACGUUACCUACAGAAGAAGCACCGGCUAACUCCGUGCCAGCAGCCGCGGUAAUACGGAGGGUGCGAGCGUUAAUCGGAAUUACUGGGCGUAAAGCGCAUGCAGGCGGCCUGUUAAGUCAGAUGUGAAAGCCCGGGGCUUAACCUCGGAAUUGCAUUUGAAACUGGCAGGCUAGAGUCUUGUAGAGGGGGUAGAAUUUCAGGUGUAGCGGUGAAAUGCGUAGAGAUCUGAAGGAAUACCAGUGGCGAAGGCGGCCCCCUGGACAAAGACUGACGCUCAGAUGCGAAAGCGUGGGGAGCAAACAGGAUUAGAUACCCUGGUAG
rnacentral:rRNA from 1 species